UACACAGUGCUGCAUAACCCGUUAAUAAAAGAAACAGGGUAAACAUUCUUGACUCCACCAACAGAUAGGUUUAUGCCUAAUCUAACUAGUUGUCUAAUGUUUUUUUUUUGUUGCUAAAAACUAGUUGUAUAAUGUUAUCACAGUUAUUAUCAAUAAGGACCCGUGUGUAUAUAUAUACAAUACUAAAAGAAGAAUAAUCUCAACAGCUAAAGUGUCCACAUCAGAUUAAAUAAUCCACCAAUCAGAAAGACUUAAUUAGCCACGUCACAAGAGUUUUCUCCUUAAAACAAAAAUUGGUCUUUUUUUUGGGCUCAGUUUACUUUUUUAAAUGUCUCAAUUCAAGCCCAAGCUUACUUUAGUCCCAGAAGCGUUGGUUUUCAUCUUCUCCAACUCUUCCAUCUGCACUUCGCCGUUCUGCCGUUACGGUAACCCACUCUUCAACAAUAUGUUAUGAUCUUAAAUCAUUUGUAGUGGUUUCUUUCCACACCAAUAUGUUAUGAUCUCAAAUACUUCUUUACUGGUUUCGUUCCACCUCCCCCUC
rnacentral:lncRNA from 1 species